rnacentral:rRNA from 1 species
AUUGAACGCUGGCGGCAUGCUUUACACAUGCAAGUCGAACGGCAACAGGUUAAGCUGACGAGUGGCGAACGGGUGAGUAAUGCAUCGGAACGUGCCCGAUCGUGGGGGAUAACGCAGCGAAAGCUGCGCUAAUACCGCAUACGAUCUGAGGAUGAAAGCGGGGGACCGUAAGGACUCGCGCGAUCGGAGCGGCCGAUGUCAGAUUAGGUAGUUGGUGGGGUAAAGGCCUACCAAGCCGACGAUCUGUAGCUGGUCUGAGAGGACGACCAGCCACACUGGGACUGAGACACGGCCCAGACUCCUACGGGAGGCAGCAGUGGGGAAUUUUGGACAAUGGGCGCAAGCCUGAUCCAGCAAUGCCGCGUGCAGGAAGAAGGCCUUCGGGUUGUAAACUGCUUUUGUACGGAGCGAAAAGGCUCUCUCUAAUACAGGGGGCUCAUGACGGUACCGUAAGGAUAAGCACCGGCUAACUACGUGCCAGCCGCCGCCGUAA